rnacentral:tRNA from 1 species
AUACUUGUAGUUUAAGGAAAAUUCUGAAUUGUGGAGUCAGAGAUAAAAUUAUUUUUUCAAGUAUU